CUGAGCCAGUAACAAAUGUGAAUGCCUGGAUCACUGUAACAAUCUUACCAUGGAGUCACAGACAAUGCCCUUAGAUUCUCUGGGCUGUCUUGCCACCCAGACAAACUGGCCUUAGUGCUAAAUGGUCAUUCAUACAAAAAAUCACACUGUAUUCAGGUUGCAUCCAGUACCAAGAAAC